UUUUCUAUGUAUUUGAGUUAUAAUUUGAGUUCAAUGUCUUCUGUUCAUUUGUAGAUGAAGUCGUUACGUUCGAUUUCAUAUACUAUUUGUUAAAUUUGGAUAAUAUUUCGAAUUAUUACGAUUUUUCAAAAUAUACUGCCAGAAAAUGGAUUUUUGUAAACACCGGCAAUUUUUAUUAACCUUUUCGGGGGCUGUUUUAGCUAAGUUAUGCUCAUAAUUUGAAAAUGGUUUCUUCAUUAAAUUCUUAGAUAUUGUUCUUGGCUUUAAUUUGGUAUAUCAUUUGUUCUGUUCAAGAUAUGUAUAGCAUGUUAUUAUUUUUCAAAUAAGUUGUACCAGAAAUGAAUUUUCAAUGUUCGGCAGUUCUGUUACCAAAAAUUAAUUUUCAAUGAGUUUUAAUAAAUAAUUUGGUGUCUUAUAGUUUAAAUAUUGCAUAGGUUUUGAGAUCGAGGAACUGUGAUCGACAAGUACUCUUGAUUGGACCAAGGUGAGGGUUCUCUUGCUUGACCUUUUCUGGGAAUAUGAUAAACUCGGGUAAUUGUAUCGCUCGAGUACUUGAAUUUUGCCCCCUUUCAUUGAGUUGAUCUAUUCAUUAUCAUUUGAUUAUCGUUAUUGAGAUUGAUUGGAUGAUGUUGAGCUUGACAUUAUUUGAGAAAUGCUAUCUUAUCGAGUAUUCAAUUCUUUGAUUUCCAUUUCCUUCGAAUAGUACUUAUUGAGUGAUAUCGGUAUGAAAUUCUUUGAAGCCGAUCGUUUUCCUUCAAGUUUUAUUCAAUUGUUUAAACAUCACAUCUUGAAACAUCGAGCCCUCUUUGAAACCUUUCACUUGAUCCCAUUUCUUCGGAAUUCUUUUGUCUUUGAAAUCCUGAAAUAAUCCGAAUAAUAUGGUCUUCUUAUAUGAUCGAUGAAGUCCUUUUGGGACGCCUCAAGGACAAUGGAUAUUAAUGGGCUCGAGGCUGUUUGGAGGUGACCGCUGGGCGGUAUCGGGCCGACGGUGGGUAGUCUCUCCAACAGUACCCACAUAGGUUUAGACUCGUACACAACUGGAGGUUAGUUGGGUUUCGGGCUAAACCGGCAUGCGCCCGGGCAUGCCACAUUGCAUUACAGGGAAUGUCCCUGCUUGUUGAAUAAGGUAGUAAACGGCUACGGGAGUCACAAGGUAGGUGUAUUCUUAUCUCUAUUGAUCGGAAAAUUGGUUGAUCAUCCUUACUAUUAUUCUUGAAUUUCCAAUCGAUGGAUAAUCUUUAAUCGCUUCUAUUUUUCAAUAUCACCAAUUGGUUCGAUCAUCAUACUUUCUCUCAGAUCAUGUCGUAAUUCGUUAUUCUUAUAUUUCACCUCACUAAGUCUCCUAUGACUUAUCCCUCUAUUUUAUUCUGUCAUAUUCUCAGACGGAGGUGGAGGCUCGAAUGAAUCAAGGGAAUUCCCGUCCGAGUAACUACCUUGUUUAUAUUUGUAAAAUAGCGGUUCGAUUAAGUUAAGAAUAAUCGCCGUCUUGUAUUAUAAAUAUCAGCGUUUGAGCUUAUUUAUGUUAUAGUAUUGUAAUCUCAUAAGCUAGGAGCUGCUGUUAUAAAUGUUCGGAACCGUUGUACUUUACCUUGCUAGACGUGAGGUUGUUAAUAAAUAAAUCGUACGUAUUUUUGUGAACUAUAGUUUGAUUAGUAUUAUUCAAAAAAAAAAAUAGACCAGGUAAUUUCAUAGAGUAAUUUGACUAACGCUUCAUAGAAGGCGGGCGUCACAGGUGGUAUCAGAGCUUAGGGUUUAGGCUCUUCCCCAAAUUACGAAUUUAGCAAAUCUAGAUGCCUUUUGGAGAAUGCGUUCGACGUAGAUCCCGACUUAUUCCCUCUUUUAGUGAUUAAUAAUGAACCUACAUGCGCUAUCACAUAUGUUGAAUCUGAUUACGAUUGAGUUAGGCUACGUAGUCUUCUCAUAAGUCGUCACAAUGUUUGCUACAGUAGUCGACUGUUUUAUCUAGCAUAUGCAUUUAUGAUGUUCUCUCUAUGCGUAGUAAGAAAGCCUGUCUAUCGUAGAUAUGUGAAUAGGGGCUUUUGAAGCACAUGGUUAUAGUCACGUGCCUCGAUAUAUGCUAUUUAUUCGAUGUAAGGUAGGUAUUAAGAGCU
rnacentral:lncRNA from 1 species